CAGCAGCCGCGGUAAUACGGAGGGAGCUAGCGUUGUUCGGAAUUACUGGGCGUAAAGCGCGCGUAGGCGGUUACUCAAGUCAGAGGUGAAAGCCCGGGGCUCAACCCCGGAACUGCCUUUGAAACUAGGUAACUAGAAUCUUGGAGAGGAUCGCGGAAUUCCCGGUGUAGAGGUGAAAUUCGUAGAUAUCGGGAGGAACACCAGUGGCGAAGGCGGCGAUCUGGGAAGAUACUGACGCUGAGGUGCGAAAGCGUGGGGAGCAAACAGGAUUAGAUACCCCAGUAGUCCCUGUCUCUUAUAC
rnacentral:rRNA from 1 species